AUAUUAUUAAUUUAAAAAUAAAAUUACCUACUAGUAUCAAAAUUAUACUGAAUUCCAAGCAAGAAAGAGAUUGCAGCAUAUUUCCCAGUAUUUAUGUACAAAAUAAAGAAGAAACUGGCAACUAUAAUAUACAGUCGAUGUUAUCAUGCUUUUCCAUUACAUCACUAGCACUGGCAAAAUACGAAUAGUUCAAAAUGAACAAACUAUUCAAAUGACCAACCAUGAAGCAACUGCAUAUUCAUCUGCAUAACUUAAGAUACAUAAAGUAGAACCGUUCCUCGUACCUCGACAGAUUAUUUUGAUCUACAGGACGGAAGAGUGAUGCCCCCACAAGCAGCUGCGAUUAUAAUGUACAGUAGCACGACAAUCAAGCAAGUCAACAGGGCUCUGUCAUGAAUAAAAGUCAGAUUUCAACGUCCAUAGUAGAAGGAGAACCAAGGCUUUAAGUAUUUAGACAUUCAAGCAAUUGUAAGAUGGACUACCCACAACUCUGGAUAGCAUAUCAAGGACAAGACUAAAGAAGCUAAAAUACUAUUCAUUGUACUGUUGAGCCCUGUCCAAUACUGUAUACUAAACAUACUUCUACCAGAAGCCUACCAGUUAUCUUAAUUGAUAUCUUCACAAGGAAUAACGUGACAGGGAAAAAUUGGCAAAUUCUUCAUUCUUAAGUGAGAGCAAAUAAGAGCAAGCUGCAGGAUAGAGCAAAAGUAUAGAAACAACUCUUUAAUGGCAUCAAAGAGAGCUUUAAAUUUCAUGAUAACAUACUAUUGCGGUUAUUGCAUUAGAAUGAUCUAUAACUCCCGCAUAGAAAACUUCAUAACUUAGCAUGUAAAAGAGACUUAAGUUUACAAAUUUAAAUGAUAAACAGGUUUUUAUUUAUUUUCGGGGGGAGUUUUACCAAACUUGCAUUUUUAGCUCAUGUUCAAUCAAAUUACCCCUCAAGGUCACAUACAUAUAGGGUUGGAUCAAAGCCCAACCAAAAUCGAACCGAUUGAACCAACCCGAACACGUUUGGGUCGAUUUAGUUCGGUCCUAAAUAACCCAAGGCAAAGUCAUGGCACGAAAUCUUGACAAAUCCUGGCUCAACACCACAACUACCUACCGAUCCUCCACCACAAAAAUAGCCCCUCCACUGCCAUCACCAUCCCAUCACCACCGGCAUAAACGUGAAAAACCCAUUCUUACAAGAAGAAAGGGGGGAACCCACAAAAUUCAUAUAUUAUAUGAAAUGUAUCACAUUUUCAAUAAAUGGUCUCCAACUUCACUUCUCUGGUUUUCAAUCCGAUUUCCACUUCCCGACAUUGCGUCAAUGACAAAAGAUGGAGAAAAAAGCUGAAUUUCAAAUAUGCUCUCAUUCGAUCUCAUAGUGGACGGUGGUGAGAGGGGUUUGUACUAGUAGUGGUGGACGGACUCACGGUGGUGUCACAAACUUUGAGUAGAGAGAGUUAGGAGAGAGAAUAGAGAGGGGUUUAGGAUGAGAGAGGAGAGAGAGGUUAUAUAGUUUCUAAAAAAUAAAAAUAAAAAAUGACCCAACCCGACCACCAAUCGAAUUUUUGGGUUGGGUCCAAGCCCAACUGAAAAUCAAACUGAAUGGGCUUCAAACCAACCCAAAUUGGGCUGGGCGGUUUGGUAGUUUCAUGGGUAUUUUGCAGUUAUAAUGGACAUGCGGUCCAAAUGCUGAUAUGUCUAAAUGCUAAUAAGUUUAAUGUUAAACUCAACUAUAAUUACUUCUCAGAGUACUGAAGGACAGAAAUCAGUGAACAGAUUCAAUCAAAAAGGUCAAUUCCUAUGACAUUGUGCAUAUAUAAUAUAUCGAAUAUAAGCAGGGACGUGUUAGUUACUACAUUCAGCAUUCCCGUCCAUGAAUGUCUAAUCAUUUCCAUGUAUCACUAUCCUUUUCCCUCAGUAGUUUGUGCAGUCAAGUAAUAAUUCUAAUAAGUCUUGAUGGGGAGACUGACACCAAAACAAGUGGACUAUCCUACUACAUCUCCAACCUAACUAUUGACUGAAUCCUCAAAGUUUGUACGUAUCCAGCUAUGGCGAAAAACAAUUAAAUAUCCUCAUAUUAAUCAUAUCAAUUGUCUCAAACUUUCUGUUCAUCAUAUAAAGCUCUAUUAGGUUGUAUGGAAUCUUGUGAAGGAAAU
rnacentral:lncRNA from 1 species